GAUGAACGCUAGCGGCAGGCUUAACACAUGCAAGUCGAGGGGUAUAGGUUUUCGGACCUAGAGACCGGCGCACGGGUGCGUAACGCGUAUGCAAUCUACCUUUCACAGAGGGGUAGCCCAGAGAAAUUUGGAUUAAUACCUCAUAGUAUUAUGAAAUGGCAUCAUUUUAUAAUUAAAGUUCCAACGGUGAAAGAUGAGCAUGCGUCCCAUUAGCUAGAUGGUAAGGUAACGGCUUACCAUGGCAACGAUGGGUAGGGGUCCUGAGAGGGAGAGCCCCCACACUGGUACUGAGACACAGACCAGACUCCUACUGGAGGCAGCAGUGAGGAAUAUUGGUCAAUGGACGCAAGUCUGAACCAGCCAUGCCGCGUGCAGGAUGACGGUCCUAUGGAUUGUAAACUGCUUUUGUACGAGAAGAAACAUCCCGACGUGUCGGGACUUGACGGUAUCGUAAGAAUAAGGAUCGGCUAACUCCGUGCCAGCCGCCGCGGUAAUAC
rnacentral:rRNA from 1 species